CAUAGCGGAGGAAAAGAAACUAACAAGGAUUCCCCUAGUAGCGGCGAGCGAAGCGGGAAAAGCUCAAAUUUGUAAUCUGGCGUCUUCGACGUCCGAGUUGUAAUCUCGAGAAGUGUUUUCCGUGAUAGACCGCAUACAAGUCUCUUGGAACAGAGCGUCAUAGUGGUGAGAACCCAGUACACGAUGCGGAUGCCUAUUACUUUGUGAUACACUUUCGAAGAGUCGAGUUGUUUGGGAAUGCAGCUCAAAUUGGGUGGUAAAUUCCAUCUAAAGCUAAAUAUUGGCGAGAGACCGAUAGCGAACAAGUACCGUGAGGGAAAGAUGAAAAGCACUUUGGAAAGAGAGUUAACAGUACGUGAAAUUGUUGGAAGGGAAACACAUGCAGUGAUACUUGCUAUUCGGGGCAACUCGAUUGGCAGGCCCGCAUCAGUUUUUCGGGGCGGAAAAGCAUAGAGAGAAGGUAGCAGUUUCGGCUGUGUUAUAGCUCUUUAUUGGAUUCGCCCUGGGGGACUGAGGAACGCAGCGUGCUUUUUGCAUGAGCUUCGGCUUAUCCACGC
rnacentral:rRNA from 1 species